rnacentral:tRNA from 1 species
CCGCGUGCUGGUGCACGGCAAGCGCACCGUCGUCUUCAGCUGACGGGACUGCCGCUCAGCCCGCGAGUUCGACGCGCUGGCGCGCGGA